ACGGAAGGCAGCAGUGGGGAAUAUUGCACAAUGGGGGGAACCCUGAUGCAGCGACGCCGCGUGAGUGAAGAAGUAUUUCGGUAUGUAAAGCUCUAUCAUCAGGGAAGAGAAUGACGGUACCUGACUAAGAAGCACCGGCUAAAUACGUGCCAGCAGCCGCGGUAAUACGUAUGGUGCAACCGUUAUCCGGAUUUACUGGGUGUAAAGGGAGCGCAGGUGGCCUGGCAAGCCAGAAGUGAAAGCCCGGGGCUUAACCCCGGGACUGCGUUUGGAACUGUUGGGAUGGAGUGCAGGAGGGGCAAGCGGAAUUCCGAGUGUAGCGGUGAAAUGCGUAGAUAGAAGGAGGAACACCGGUGGCGAAGGCGGCUGGCUGGACUGUAACUGACACUGAGGAUCGAAAGCGUGGGGAGCAAACAGGAUUAGAUACCCUGGUA
rnacentral:rRNA from 1 species